rnacentral:rRNA from 1 species
UACGUAGGGUGCAAGCGUUAAUCGGAAUUACUGGGCGUAAAGCGUGCGCAGGCGGGCUUUUAAGCCAGACGUGAAAUCCCCGGGCUUAACCUGGGAAUGGCGUUUGGGACUGGAAGUCUGGAGUACGGCAGAGGAGACUGGAAUUCCUGGUGUAGCAGUGAAAUGCGUAGAUAUCAGGAGGAACACCGAUGGCGAAGGCAGGUCUCUGGGCUGAUACUGACGCUCAUGCACGAAAGCGUGGGGAGCAAACAGG